CUGGGACUGAGACACGGCCCAGACUCCUACGGGAGGCAGCAGUAGGGAAUCUUCCGCAAUGGACGAAAGUCUGACGGAGCAACGCCGCGUGAGUGAUGAAGGUUUUCGGAUCGUAAAGCUCUGUUGUUAGGGAAGAACAAGUACCGUUCGAAUAGGGCGGUACCUUGACGGUACCUAACCAGAAAGCCACGGCUAACUACGUGCCAGCAGCCGCGGUAAUACGUAGGUGGCAAGCGUUGUCCGGAAUUAUUGGGCGUAAAGGGCUCGCAGGCGGUUUCUUAAGUCUGAUGUGAAAGCCCCCGGCUCAACCGGGGAGGGUCAUUGGAAACUGGGGAACUUGAGUGCAGAAGAGGAGAGUGGAAUUCCACGUGUAGCGGUGAAAUGCGUAGAGAUGUGGAGGAACACCAGUGGCGAAGGCGACUCUCUGGUCUGUAACUGACGCUGAGGAGCGAAAGCGUGGGGAGCGAACAAGGAUUAGAUACCCCUGGUAGUCCACGCCCGUAAACGAUGAGUGCUAAGUGUUUAGGGGGUUUCCGCCCCCUUAGUGCUGCCAGCUAACGCAUUAAGCACUACCGCCCUGGGGAGUACGGUCGCAAGACUGAAACUCAAAGGAAUUG
rnacentral:rRNA from 1 species